AGGACAGGCAGCCCUGGCUCCUGGCAUAAGAAGGGUCAUGUCUUCUUGUUUCUAAGUUCUUCCUGGCACAUUCCCAGAGGAUGUGGCAGCUUAUCAGACCUUUGUUACCAUCUAUGAUAGCACUUCAUAGACUAAUAGCCUCUCAAAGGUAGGAGGGACUCUGGAAAUUAUCCUCACUCCUUCACCUUAAAGUCAGGCCAUGGGGAAGAUGACCCAUCCAGGACACAUCAGGCAUCAGGUGCAAAGCUGGGACUAUCCCCUUGGUCUUCUAACUCUGAGUCCAGUGUUCUUUCGACGACACUCCAUGUAGUCAUGGUCACCGCCAUCCCCCAUCCCCCAGCCGCUAAGGCCAUGACAGCUGUUCCUCCAACACUGAUGAACACUGUGAGGGAAAACUCCACGAGUCAGGCUCAGGGCUUCCCCAAGGCCAGCCUGCUGAGACAGGUUUUGGGGCCGGAGUCAGGGGACCAGGAGGUUCCCUUUUCCUGCUGGAGAGAAGCCCGGAAGCUGAACAGCAGGAAGAAGGCCUCUUCAUUCCUGUUUAGAAGAGAAGGAUCUUGUUGCUUGACUUUUCUUGACUAUUGUCUGGCUUUCAUUGAAAGCUUUGGAAGUUCUACCCUAUGUCCGGCGUCCCAGGUCUUGAUGAACAAAAAGGAGUCAGCACCUAAGUUAAUCUUCCUUCUUCAUUUCCAACCACAGCUCAAGGGUUUUGCUGUCUGUCUUUGGAAAUGACUCAACUAACAGAUGGGGGUGGAAAUCUGCACCACGAAAUUAAUUACGCCGCGUCUUCAGGCUUUGUCCUCUCAUUUACUGAAUCGUGUUUAAUUAACAACUCAAGACUGCACCUCCUUGCAGAUGAGUUUGCAUUUCAUGAGAUCAUAAAAUUAAAGAAAAAGUCUGCCAAGCUCACUGCUUGUUAUAGUCCUUGUCCCCGGCCUGACCCUGAUUACUUUCAUUUCUGACUCCUUCUCGCUAGGACUUCCCUGCACAUACUAGGAGAGUAUUCCGGAAGGGACAGGGAAUUCUCACUGCUGCUAAGUCACCUUCGGAGAACUUUCCUUGUUGGUUCUAUUCCCAGGCCUGAUUUUACUACCCUUUCAUUUUGUCUUCGUCUUUUCUACAUUUUUAUUUGCUGGAUAUUGACACAUCAUGGAGUUACCAUCAGUGUUUACAUUACAGUUCUGUUUUAGGUAAUGGUCAUUUUACAAGUAGGCACAAACAGUCACAAAGCAUCUCCAUGGCUUCUUUCCUUCUUCUUCAUUUUUACUUUCCCCUUUUCUUUUUUUUUUCUUUCACCGAAGCAAGAAGAAGGCGGGGAGGAAUUUACUCUUGUUCUGAUCCAGAACCAGCCUUCUCCCUGCCUACAAUUAAGAGUUAGUGCUUACCAAGUGCUUCACAAAUGCCAGUUCAUAUAACAGCUAACAACCAUAUGCUUGGCCCAUUUUACCAUGGAGUGGGUCUGGCUCUCAAUACUGUGCUAUGCUGCCUCUCACCUGUGUGCUGUCCAACCACCUCUUGACCAAUUAUAACACACACACACACACCCUUACAUUUUAAAGUAAUUCAUCUGAUGUAAUUUGGAUACAUGGAUGUUAACUCCCAUCAAUAAGUUGACAUCUUUGAGUCUGAGCAUUGUCUCCUGUGAUGAAGUCUGCUGUGGAAACCACUAAAAUGUUGAUAAAUGAAAAAAAAAGCAACAUAGAACUCAAAAUAUAACACAGAAUGGUUACACUUACCAAAAUCAUUUAAGUUAUUUUGUUGGUCAGACUUCAUCCACUCAGACCACUGGCCUCCAAUCCACCAGACAGUCAUCAAAGUUCACUGCUAACCCCGGUACUUGGGUUGUUAGCUGAGCUCCUCAUUCAGAGUCACUUAGAUUCUAUUUACUCUGACUUUCUACACAAUUCUAAAAGGGCCAGGGGACUUCUUUCCAGUCCAUAGAAGUCUAGAGACAACAGAUCAAAAGGCAGAGCCAGAUGGAAAAUGCUGAAAACCUGCACCUUGGAGUGGAUAGCAGAGGUAGCUGAUACCUGAAUGGACAGGAAAAGAGCUUUACAAAGGCAUAAAUGGAAGACCAUUUAGUGUAGGAGUUGAUAGCCUGUCCACGGCUGCCCUGACAUCGAGAAACACAGUCACUGUGUUCAACAUCUCUUCCCCAAGUCACCAAAACAAGGACAGACCACAAUUAACUAAAUCACGCCGAAGAGGUUCACAACUUUUUCAAGGCAUUCCUCUACAUGAUAGUUAAAGUUUCAUUGCCUAAAGGAUAUCAGUAACACGAAGAUAGUGAAAAUGACUCAUUCGCCAAGAUUUCUGGAUGACCAAGUUUUACUUUGUGUAUUUACAUGCAAGUCAUCCCAGAGAUAAGCCACACUGUCACUAUUAAACUAGUUUCUGAUUAACAUAAUUUUAUAUAACCGAGUGACAGGUUCUCAGAUUAUGAAACACUAAUUAGCUUUGACUCCAUGCGUCUCUAAAGCAUGCAUGACUAUUGCAGGAGACCCUGCAUUUCUGCAAGUACAGGUUUCGUGAAUGCUUCUGGCAAGAGCUGGAGUCAGCCUGGCUCUGUGGUUAGUUUGCAUACAUGAAAAGUCUGGUAAUCUCUUUGGAGGGUUGGACUGUGUACAAUCCUUUUUGCAUAAUGAUACUUUACUUCCUAGAUUAUAAAAAUGCUAUUUUCCUAGGAACUGGAUUUGUGGCAUAUUUUUGUGCAAUGAUUUAACUUAAUUCCCCAGGUUCGAAAGGAACCUGUCAGUUAUGAACUGACUAAAUAAAAUCCCAUGUUUCAAAAUCA
rnacentral:lncRNA from 1 species